UACGGAGGGUGCAAGCAUUAAUCGGAUUUAUUGGGCGUAAAGGGCGCGUAGGCGGCCCUGUAAGUCCGCUGUGAAAGUCAAGGGCUCAACCCUUGGAUGCCGGUGGAUACUGCAGGGCUAGAGUCCGGAAGAGGCGAGUGGAAUUCCUGGUGUAGCGGUGAAAUGCGCAGAUAUCAGGAGGAACACCGAUGGCGAAGGCAGCUCGCUGGGACGGUACUGACGCUGAAGCGCGAAAGCCAGGGGAGCGAACGGG
rnacentral:rRNA from 1 species